rnacentral:RNase_P_RNA from 1 species
UCAGGGGGCCUGAGGCAGCCGCGUGUCGCAAGAUGCGAGGAAAGUCCGGGCUCCACGAAACAAGGGUGGCGGGUAACGCCCGCCGGUUCCGCUUUCGGGCGGGGCAAGGGAAAGUGCCACAGAGAGCAAACCGCCGAUGGCUACCCGAAAGGGCGCACAGGCAAGGGUGAAAGGGUGCGGUAAAAGCGCACCGGGGGGCCGGCAACGGCAACCGCAUGGCAAACCCCACCCGGAGCAAGGCCGAAUAGGGGUCUCGCGCCUUUCGCAAGAGAGGCAGGCGUGUUUCGCGCUGAGAGACCCGGGUUGGCUGCUAGAGCCGUCGAGCAAUCGGCGGAGCAGAUGAAUGGCUGCCACCGCAGGCCCGUCCGCAAGGAUACAGCCUGAGGAGACAGAACCCGGCUUAUGAUGGCCCCCUGAUUUU